UGAGCCUGCGUUAGAUUAGCUAGUUGGUAGGGUAAAGGCCUACCAAGGCGACGAUCUAUAGCUGGUCUGAGAGGACGAUCAGCCACACUGGGACUGAGACACGGCCCAGACUCCUACGGGAGGCAGCAGUGGGGAAUAUUGGACAAUGGGCGAAAGCCUGAUCCAGCAAUACCGCGUGUGUGAAGAAGGCCUUAGGGUUGUAAAGCACUUUCAAUUGGGAGGAAAACCUGCCGGUCAAUACCCGGUAGCUUGACAUUACCUUUAGAAGAAGCACCGGCUAACUCCGUGCCAGCAGCCGCGGUAAUACGGAGGGUGCGAGCGUUAAUCGGAAUUACUGGGCGUAAAGCGUGCGUAGGUGGUUCGUUAAGUCAGAUGUGAAAGCCCUGGGCUCAACCUGGGAACUGCAUUUGAAACUGGCGGACUAGAGUUUAGUAGAGGGGAGUGGAAUUUCAGGUGUAGCGGUGAAAUGCGUAGAUAUCUGAAGGAACACCAGUGGCGAAGGCGACUCC
rnacentral:rRNA from 1 species